rnacentral:lncRNA from 1 species
AAAAUAAGUAUAUAAGGUAGACCUGAUCACUCUCUUUUUUUGCAACAGUAUGAACAGUAGUUUUAUAUUUCAUAUACCAUUAGCAGUUCCAUCUCCAGUGAUGUGAAUUAACCUUUAGUGUGGAUCUGCCACAUUUGGUAAGUACUGACUUAACCACUGACCAGAAAGAUCACACUUAUUAAAUAGCUUUGUAGU